rnacentral:rRNA from 1 species
GACGAACGCUGGCGGCGCGCCUAACACAUGCAAGUCGAACGAGCGAGAGAGAGCUUGCUUUCUUGAGCGAGUGGCGAACGGGUGAGUAACGCGUGAGGAACCUGCCUCAAAGAGGGGGACAACAGUUGGAAACGACUGCUAAUACCGCAUAAGCCCACGACCCGGCAUCGGGUUGAGGGAAAAGGAGCAAUCCGCUUUGAGAUGGCCUCGCGUCCGAUUAGCUAGUUGGUGAGGUAACGGCCCACCAAGGCGACGAUCGGUAGCCGGACUGAGAGGUUGAACGGCCACAUUGGGACUGAGACACGGCCCAGACUCCUACGGGAGGCAGCAGUGGGGAAUAUUGCACAAUGGGGGAAACCCUGAUGCAGCGAAGCCGCGUGGAGGAAGAAGGUCUUCGGAUUGUAAACUCCUGUUGUUGAGGAAGAUAAUGACGGUACUCAACAAGGAAGUGACGGCUAACUACGUG